rnacentral:rRNA from 1 species
AACGCACCUUGCGCUCCUUGGUAUUCCGAGGAGCAUGCCCGUUUGAGUGUCGUGAUAUCAUCAAGCCGACCCCUCCUUUACUGGUGGGGGUUGCGCUUGGACUUGGAUGUGCUGCCGGACGGCGACGCCCGGCUCAUCCCAAACGCAUUAGCUGGAUUUAUUCCUGGCUUGGACUUUUGUUCUCACUCGGCGUGAUAAUGUCACCCGUCGAGCAGUCCUUGGUCAACGUUGGGUUCCGCUUCCAACCGUCCCCCGCGGACAACACCGAAACCUGGUUUUCGACAUCUGACCUCAAAUCGGGUAGGACUACCCGCUGAACUUAA